UACGUAGGGUGCAAGCGUUUAAUCGGAAUACUGGGCGUAAAGCGUGCGCAGGCGGUUUUGUAAGUCUGAUGUGAAAUCCCCGGGCUCAACCUGGGAAUUGCAUUGGAGACUAGCAAGGCUAGAGUGUGUCAGAGGGGGGUAGAAUUCCACGUGUAGCAGUGAAAUGCGUAGAUAUGCGGAGGAACACCGAUGGCGAAGGCAAUCCCCUGGACCUGUACUGACGCUCAUGCAC
rnacentral:rRNA from 1 species